AAGCAACUCCAUCCUCAGUCCGUCAGUCCGUUGCCUUGCAUCGAUCGCCCACCGCCGCUCCAUCUGGUUCUGUCCUUCGCUUCGCUCCCACCGUUUCUUCUUCAUUGGCGUCGCUCCCUCUGGUGAGAGACUUGCUUUGCAGCUGCGUCCAGACGUACAUUUAAAUAGGCACCUCUCGAUCGCUCCACUUUGGCAUCGCUCCCUCUGGUUCUGUUUAAUUUGCUGCCUAACCUGAGUUCCAUCGAGAGUACUAGGGUCUUGAGAUACCUCUGCCCAUCAGAAGUCGUUUGCAGGGUGAAAGGGGGAGCUGGUUGCACUGGGUCGCUUGGUGUUAUUGUUUUAUCUCGAAUAAUGAUUUUGAUUGAUUUCAUCAAGGGAAGGAGAAUUUGAUUUACUCUUGGGGAAGACCGUCAAACAACAAAUGGUAAGCAGGAUUUUUGUUGAUCGUGGAGUUAUUUCACGGCAAGUUUUGAUUAAUGUUCGUCCCACUUACGUCAUUCCACUCUUCUGUUGAGCCUGGUCUCAGCCGCAGCAAAGGCGCUAGUUUAACAGUCGUCUCCCUUCGGCGGAAGCUCCAUCUGAAUCCAAAUCUGAGAAGCCCCUCCUUCGCUAUUUGCGGCGACCGUCGUAUCUCCCAGGCACCGCCCUCCCUGGAAAAUGAAGCGGGCGUGGAAACUCUCUGAUGCAGCACAAGCAGAGUUGUUCUGCUUCCACAAAACGUCACCAAAGCCAAAACCCCGUGACCCCUUUCCUUUCUUCCUCCUAAGCUCUGCGAAUUACGCAUGCACCCCCCAAGUCAAUGCCCACACUCGAUCCUCCGAACAUUCCGUGCUCCGAGGGAUGGUUGGCUUAUUCUCCCGCAACCCCUAUUACUUCAAUUGGAUAGGCCGAGAAGAUUUUAAAAGGGCAGUUGCGAACUUGGGAUGCGAAUUGGUUCGGGUAGCCGAUGACCCUCAUGCUGUUCUUAAUAUUUUGGAGGAGAAUUCUCACUUUUGGUUUUGGAGUUGUCCUGAUGGGACGGCCCUUGUUGAUCUUUUGGAUCUAUUGGAAUCAUGGCCUCACUUGUCUCUAAUGGUUUUAAACUGGAGAAGAAAAAGUUCUCUUGCUGGCGCUCCCAUGGCUCCUGCAGAGUACUCUAAGGCUAUCAAAGUUGCUGGUAGAUCUAAAAAUAUUGAUCUUGCAGUUGACCUAUUUAAUGAUGCCACAACCAAGCAAAUAAAAACAACAGCUAUUUAUAAUUCACUGAUGGCUGCUUAUAUGUUCAAUGGGCUUCCUGCAAAAUGCAAGGCAUUGUUUGUGCAGAUGAAGAAGGAUGGAACUUGUCACCCUAACAUUAUAACCUUCAAUAUCCUUAUUUCUGUUUACGGUCGCUUGGUACUAAUAGAUCGUAUGGAAGCAAUAUUUGAGGAGAUACAUAAUUCAGGUCUCUCCCCGAAUAUAAGCACUUAUAAUUACUUGAUUGCUGGGUAUGUUACAGCCUGGAAGUGGGAUAAAAUGGAACAAACUUUUCGAAUGCUGAAUUCAAGCCCUUUUAUACCUGACACUGACACAUACCUGCUGAUGCUACGUGGGUAUGCUUAUUCAGGUAAUUUGAAGAAUAUGGAAGAGACAUAUCAGUUAGUGAGGGAUUAUGUAAAUGAGAAUGAAAUUCCUUUGAUCAGGUGUAUGAUAUGUGCAUAUUGUAAAAGUUCUGAGCCUGAUAGAGUGAAGAAGAUACAGGAAUUACUGAACUUGAUUCCAGAAAACGAGUAUAGGCCUUGGCUAAAUGUGUUGUUAAUUAGGCUUUAUGCACAGGAGAACUCCUUAGAGGAAAUGGAGAACUCAAUUAAUGAGGCAUUUCAGCACAAAGUCUCAGUAAAAACAAGUGGUAUAAUGCGAUGCAUCAUUGCAACUUAUUUUAGGAAAAACUUAGUUGACAAGUUAGAAAAUUUUGUGAGGCGUGCUGAACAUUCUGAUUGGAGAAUUUGCCGCUCCUUAUACCAUUGUAAGAUGGUGAUGUAUGGAUCACAACAACGCUUUGAGGAAAUGGAAAGUGUCCUGAAUGAGAUGGAAAGUGUCAACAUGAGUUCGACAAAGAAAACAUUAUGGAUUUUGUAUAAUGCUUAUGUAAGCUGUGAUCAGAGAUCCAAGGUGAUGAAAAUAUUGGGACUAAUGUGCAAGCGUGGAUUUGAUUUUCCAAUGUGUGCAGUAUCAUCGUAAAUUACAUUAUUUGGGGCAUUCUUUGCUAUUCAUAGAUGAGUUAACUGUGCAACGAAUAUCUUCUCAUUGGUCUGCUGAAUGCAUCUAAAAUGUUGGCCUACGCAGCCCUAUGUAGCUUGUUUCGUGAUGGGAAUACAUUCAAGGGAUUUUCAUGCCAACGCUUGGGAAAAAUUCCUGUUGUUUGUGAUGGACAACCAUCUCUAACAACAUGGGGUUCUCAAAUAAUUUAUAUAGAUGAUGGGUUCCUCACUUCUCAUACACGGCAUGUUUGGGUUAGCUUUUUGGAAGUGACUCUACGGUGCUCAAGAUUGCAAGAGCAGUUGCAAGCUGAGGGGGAUCCUAGAGCCGCAUUGGAAGUUGGUUUGAGCAUGUCUUCAGGACAAUUUUCCCGUUCGCGUGGCAUGGAUUCUCAGACAAGGGCUGAGCUGGAGGCGGUUGCCCUCACUGAGGCUGAUGUGGCCAGGCUGAAGUAGAAAGUUGCAGAACUCCACCUUUAGCGACAGCAUCACUAUGGUUCAUUUGCUGAUGCGUGUCAUCAGUAUCGACUUGUCCCGCAUUGUUCUCAUCAGUGAAUAUGCAGACUUAUUUUAACGUUGAAAGCUUGCUUGACUUCUGACAUUAGGUAAUAGUUUUAUGUGGCAUCUGAACGGCUGAACCUAGCUUUACCAUCAUCUUCAUGUUGCCAAACGAAAAAUAUAAUGUCAAUUUAUAAUUCUGGCCAUGGGUACUGUUUGAUACUGUUAUUUAGGAAGUUCCGCAUGAACUCGAUAAUACCAUGACAGGCAGACGCCAAUACUUGGUAUGAAGUUCAGGGGUCAAAUAACCAAUUUAUGGACUAAGGGUGCUGCCCCAACUUCAGAAGACACUAUUUUUGUUUGUAGUCGGUGCUUGAAAUAUUGCACUGGACGUCAGAGUAACCGUCUCAGAAAAAGUAACAACUUAUUUUGAAUGGGUUCUCUUAUUAUUAUAUUCUUUCAUUUUUAUUA